rnacentral:rRNA from 1 species
UGCAGGCGGCGGCUACCAUGCAGUCGAGCGGUAACAGGGGUAGCUUGCUACCCGCUGACGAGCGGCGGACGGGUGAGUAAUGCAUAGGAAUCUGCCCGAUAGUGGGGGAUAACCUGGGGAAACCCAGGCUAAUACCGCAUACGUCCUACGGGAGAAAGGGGGCUCCGGCUCCCGCUAUUGGAUGAGCCUAUGUCGGAUUAGCUAGUUGGUAAGGUAAUGGCUUACCAAGGCAACGAUCCGUAGCUGGUCUGAGAGGAUGAUCAGCCACAUCGGGACUGAGACACGGCCCGAACUCCUACGGGAGGCAGCAGUGGGGAAUAUUGGACAAUGGGGGCAACCCUGAUCCAGCCAUGCCGCGUGUGUGAAGAAGGCCCUCGGGUUGUAAAGCACUUUCAGCGAGGAAGAACGCCUAUCGGUUAAUACCCGGUAGGAAAGACAUCACUCGCAGAAGAAGCACCGGCUAACUCCGUGCCAGCAGCCGCGGUAAUACGGAGGGUGCAAGCGUUAAUCGGAAUUACUGGGCGUAAAGCGCGCGUAGGUGGCUUGAUAAGCCGGUUGUGAAAGCCCCGGGCUCAACCUGGGAACGGCAUCCGGAACUGUCAGGCUAGAGUGCAGGAGAGGAAGGUAGAAUUCCCGGUGUAGCGGUGAAAUGCGUAGAGAUCGGGAGGAAUACCAGUGGCGAAGGCGGCCUUCUGGACUGACACUGACACUGAGGUGCGAAAGCGUGGGUAGCAAACAGGAUUAGAUACCCUUGGUAGUCA